GGGGGUAUAGCUCAGUGGUAGAGCUCAUGCUCAGCAUGCGUGAGGUCCUGGGUUCCAUCCCCAGUACCUCAG
rfam:Camelus ferus unplaced genomic scaffold scaffold1091, whole genome shotgun sequence.